CAACAUCCUCUUCUCCAUUUCCGACGGCCAUCUCUUCCCCUCAUUCUCUUCUCCUUCGUCUCUCCGCCACCAUCUCUCUUCCUCUCCGUCUCCGUCUCCGAAAUCGAACAGCCGCCGCGACCAUCCAUUUCGGAUCUCCUCUCGGCUUCAAAUCGUCCUCCGCCGUCAAGCCAUCGCCCUCCGCCGCGUGAAAGCAGAACCAGCUGUCGGAUUCCACCAGCCGCGACUCACCCCGUCGUCGAACGCCUCUCAGUUGUCGUUCGUCACGGUCGUCGGACGCCGGAGAGCCAUCGUUCGUGGCUGCCCGUUUUCAUCCAACCCGACCCGGUUCCAAGCUGACCCGACCCAAAACCCGUUUCCAGUCCGAGCCACACACAAAUCCGGGUGAGCCGAGCUGAGUAAGUCGUGCCGAGUGAGCCGAGUGAGCCGAGCCACGAUCCGAGCCGCGAGCCGAGUGAGCCGAGCCGCGAGCCGAGUGAGCCGAGCCGCGAGCCGAGCCGCGAGCCGAGUUGAGCCGAGCCACAAGCCGAGCUGUGAGCCAAGGCCAAGCCGAGCCGAGCCGAGGUGGAGCCGAGCCGAGCCGAGCCGAACGCCUUCAAGCCGAGCCGAGCUCCUUGUUUCACCAAGCCACCUAAGCCUUCCUUCCUCCGCUCCGGGUCACGGUAAUACAGAGUUGACACUUGAGUUCUCGGGUCUCGCGGUAGGCUUGGUUGGAGAUAGCUUCCUUUCCUUGGGUGGAUCUGUUGAGCGUGGAUUCGAUCGAGGGGCAUAACCGAGUAUCAGGGAAAUGCCACCAAGGAGAGGUGCACGUAGGGGUGGCCGAGGAGGCCGAGGAAGGGGAGCAGGACGCGUUCAACCUGAGGUGCAGCCUGUAGCCCAAGCCCCUGACCCGGCUGCGCCAGUUACUCAUGCGGACCUAGCCGCCAUGGAGCAGGCACGGUAGUGACAGGUAGGGGCACAGCGAGGGGCAGACCGACGAGAGGCAGGAAGGAUGCGUGAAGGCCAUAUGGACGCGUCUGGUUUUCUUAUUGCUUUCGCUAUGUAUUUUGUCAGAAUAUUUUGACUUGUGAUUUUGAACUGGUGACUUGAGUUUUUAUUUAUGACUUUUUGAUUGAUUU